CUAAGGCCAGCGAGAGAACUGUUGUUAAGGAACUCGGCAAAAUGACCCCGUAACUUAGGGAUAAGGGGUGCCACCAUCAGGUGGCCGCAGAGAAUAGGCCCAAGCGACUGUUUACCAAAAACAUAGGCUUCUGCUAAGUCGCAAGACGAUGUAUAGGAGCUGACGCCUGCCCGGUGCUGGAAGGUUAAGGGGAUCUGUUA
rnacentral:rRNA from 1 species